GAUGAACGCUGGCGGCGUGCCUAAUACAUGCAAGUAGAACGCUGAAGCUUGGUGCUUGCACCGAGCGGAUGAGUUGCGAACGGGUGAGUAACGCGUAGGUAACCUGCCUGGUAGCGGGGGAUAACUAUUGGAAACGAUAGCUAAUACCGCAUGACAACAGUUAUUGCAUGAUAACUAUUUAAAAGGGGCAAUUGCUCCACUACCAGAUGGACCUGCGUUGUAUUAGCUAGUUGGUGAGGUAACGGCUCACCAAGGCGACGAUACAUAGCCGACCUGAGAGGGUGAUCGGCCACACUGGGACUGAGACACGGCCCAGACUCCUACGGGAGGCAGCAGUAGGGAAUCUUCGGCAAUGGACGGAAGUCUGACCGAGCAACGCCGCGUGAGUGAAGAAGGUUUUCGGAUCGUAAAGCUCUGUUGUAAGAGAAGAACGAGUGUGAGAGUGGAAAGUUCACACUGUGACGGUAUCUUACCAGAAAGGGACGGCUAACUACGUGCCAGCAGCCGCGGUAAUACGUAGGUCCCGAGCGUUAUCCGGAUUUAUUGGGCGUAAAGCGAGCGCAGGCGGUUAGAUAAGUCUGAAGUUAAAGGCUGUGGCUUAACCAUAGUACGCUUUGGAAACUGUUUAACUUGAGUGCAAGAGGGGAGAGUGGAAUUCCAUGUGUAGCGGUGAAAUGCGUAGAUAUAUGGAGGAACACCGGUGGCGAAAGCGGCUCUCUGGCUUGUAACUGACGCUGAGGCUCGAAAGCGUGGGGAACAAACAGG
rnacentral:rRNA from 1 species